rnacentral:tRNA from 1 species
GGGUGUAUAGCGCAAUUGGUAGAGCGACGACCUUACAAGCCGUAGGUUGCAGGUUCGAGUCCUGCUACACCCA